GUACGUAGAUAAACACAAGAUUAUGCAAACCAUUCAUCCUGUAUCUCCCCAAACUGCCUGGCACCCCUACGUGCACCAAAGGUUCACACACACAUUCCUGGAGGUGCAGACAGGAAAUACACUCCCUCUUUCCCCAUCCCCUGUUAACAGGCCCUGUCUGCUUCCCAGACUGGACGGUUUCAGCUCUGGACCCUCCUGCCUCCCCACCCAGGUGUUGCAGGGCUGUUCCUGCCAUAGCAGUGACGGGAGGGGCUGCCCCGCCCUCAUCCUGGGUUGCUAACGGCCAAUGUGUGUCUCUGUCCAAAUUUCCCUUUAUAAGGCCACCAGUCACUCUCAUGACCUCACUUGAACUUGAUCAUGUCUGUAAACCUGCAAACAGUGUUGCACUUAGAGGUUCUCGGGGUUAGGACCUCAACCCUUGAGAGUGGGGGGCAUACAUCCUACCCAAAACAUGGUUCUUCCAGAGUCCGCCUCCACUUCAGCUGUCUGAAGGCACGGCUCUGACCUGCAGUUCAGAGGGGCCCCUGUGGCAAUGGGGACGGCCUGGUGCAGCGUCUCUGGGCAGCCCUGCUGGAUGCCAGCAGAGUCCUGGCACAGCUCUGAGCUGCACCAAUGUGCUGGUGACGUGAAGUGCACACCGUGUCACUCAGCGCUUCCCCCCAUGGGGUCCUGUCUCGGCUGCUUGCCACCCCACCCCCCCGAGCAGGAGCCCUCAGCGUCCCGCCUGCUGGAGCCUCAGGGCCACACUGACCCUGCUUCUGCUUGGAGUCCACAGACGCAUGGACCAUCUCUACUGCACAGAGCAUCACUCUGGCCCCCAAGCUGACAACGUCCUGCAGACUGGUUUUGACUAGUUGCUACUUUAGUAACAGUGAACUAAAUAAAGCACGAUUUUGAAAAAAAUGUACAAGUGAACUUAUUUAAGGAACAGAAAUGAGAGUCACAGAUGUAGAAAACAAAGAAGGAUAAACUAGGAGACUGGGACUGACAUACACACACUCCUAGACGACUGAUAAGGACUUCCUGUGGAGCACAGGGAGUCUCCUCAAUCCUCUGUAAUGGCCUACAUGGAAAGGUCAUCUAGAGAGAGAGGGUAUAUGUGUAUGUAUAACUGGUUCACUUUGCUGUACAGCAGAAACCAGCAUGACAUUGUACAUCAGCCAUAUUCCAAUUUUAAAAAAAUAANNNNNNNNNNNNNNNNNNNNNCAUGAGAAACCCCCAAACUCAUGGGGCCCCCGAUUUGGUGGCGUUUCCAGGGAUUCCAUGGUCUGAAGCAGGAAGACAAGGUGCCGCACCCCCAUACCCCCCGUGUGAACAGGCAGCCCUACUGACACAUUUGGGCAUGUUAAGUCCACCUGUCUACACUGGCAGCACAUGGCUCCCAGUUAAAGCAGGACCUGCAGGAGCACAAGCGUGCUGCACGACCACUGAGCCUUAGGAUGCAUCAAGAGUCCAGCAGGGACCCCAGGGCACCAGCACAGGUGCUAUGAGCACAGACCUCAUCCCCCUGGAGGGUCCAUCCUCCUCCAUAGGAAGAGCCGCCGCUCGGGCCGAGCACCUGACGCGGACACAGCAACCACACGGCCCGAGCACCCUGCACACACGAGUGCGAGUGUGCGGCAGUGGACACGCACGGGCAGUGGGCGUGGUGGCUCCAGCAUCCACACGCACCCUGUGACCAGGGUCCUGAGGGGCAUCCCGAAAGACAGCAACAAAGGGCAAGUCCUCGCUCCAAGCAGAACUGAGUACUGUAUCUCAUCACCCACCUUGUCAGGAACGAGACUGGCCACAGGUACUGACCUAUGUGGACAUCUGGGGCAGCGCCAACAGCUCGCUGGACAGUUAGACUCAGAAGGAACAGAAU
rnacentral:lncRNA from 1 species